GCCGGGCGUGGUGGCGCACGCCUGUAAUCCCAGCACUUUGGGAGGCUGAGGCGGGUGGAUCACUUGAGGUCAGGAGUUUGAGACCAGCCUGUCCAACAUGGUGAAACCCCAUCUCUA
ensembl:misc_RNA Metazoa_SRP Metazoan signal recognition particle RNA